rnacentral:rRNA from 1 species
AUGAGAGAAAUCUUCCGGUUGCACGGGUUACCGCUGGCUUUGAUUUCCGACAGGGACCAAGUAUUUACUAGCAACGUUUGGCAGGAACUCUUCAAGUUGUGUCGAACGGAACUCCGAAUGAGCUCAUCUUAUCACCCGCAAACCGAUGGGCAGACCGAGCUGGUAAACCAGUGUCUUGAGACUUACCUUCGAUGCGCAGUUCAUGCCUGUCCAAAGAACUGGGCGAAGUGGUUGGCGCUGGCCGAAUUCUGGUAUAACACAUCCUUCCACUCAUCGCUGGGGAGAACCCCGUUUGAAGUUAUAUAUGGACACCUGCCGCAGAAUUUUGGAGUAGCUCAAAUAGAUGAAUGCACGGUGCCUGACUUGGCAGCCUGGCUCCGGGAAAGGGAAAUCAUGAUCGAACUUCUUCAGCAACAACUCAAGAAAGCUCAAGAUAGGAUGAAAGCGCAAGCCGAUCGGCACAGAACAGACAGAUCCUUCGAGGUGGGCGAUUUAGUCCUGCUUAAACUGCAACCGUUCAUACAGACUUCGAUUGCUCAGCGGCCAUUUCAGAAGCUAGCAUUCCGUUACUAUGGGCCAUACAAGAUACUGGCAAGGGUGGGAGCAGUCGCUUACAAGCUGGAUUUGCCGUCGACAAGCAAGAUCCAUCCAGUAGUCCAUGUAUCCCUCCUGAAGCGCGCGCAUGGCGCUGCAGUUCCAGUAAACUCUGAACUGCCUCCUGCUAACGAGAUUUUGCAGGCUGAACACGCAUCAAGAAGUGUACUCAGCAGCAAGCAGAUCCGAGUGGCGGGCGAAGAACACAUGCGCGUCCUGGUGCACUAG